rnacentral:rRNA from 1 species
UACGUAGGGGGCAAGCGUUGUCCGGAAUCAUUGGGCGUAAAGCGCGUGUAGGCGGCUCGAUAAGUCUGCUGUGAAAGUUCAGGGCUCAACCCUGAAAUGCCGGUGGAAACUGUCGAGCUAGAGUCCGGAAGAGGCGAGUGGAAUUCCCGGUGUAGCGGUGAAAUGCGCAGAUAUCGGGAGGAACACCAAUUGCGAAGGCAGCUCGCUGGGACGUAACUGACGCUGAGACGCGAAAGCGUGGGGAGCAAACAGG